AUUCAGACCCAGAUCGGAUUUGAAAAUAUCGGAUUUGUGCUGUUCACACUGUCAUACCAUGAUCGGAUGUGGGUUGCAUAGGGUCAAAAAAGUCGGAUUGCAGUCGCCUGCAGUAUGAACGUAGCCUUAUAGGCACAAACAGGAACUUCUGUUUUUUCUUCAUUAAGUUGGCAAAAAUUGUCAGCUAAACAACUUUUAAUAGAAUCUAUUUGCAUAAGUUUGAUGUGCAACAGAAAUAUCUUGGAGCUUAAAAUAGAUAUAUAACUGAAUGUCAUCUGCAUAGCCAUGCUAAGAAAUGUCCUUUUGAGUGCUCAAAAUGUGUUAAAGAACGAACAGAUAUAAGAGAAACAGUAAGGGCCCUAAAAGAGAACGCCGAUAGAGACCGACCAGUAUCUCAGCCUAUGACAAAUAACGUGAUUGUCAUCAGUGUCAAUGGCAGAGGUCAGACAACAUCAGCAAAACAGAACAUUUCCCUGAACCACUUCGGAUCGAGAGGUUGUUUGAGACUCUAAGAAGAGCUGUUUUGAUGAGGUCUAUGAAAGCCAGACUGAAAUCUACCAAGAUGCUUUUUUUGUCCAAACCACUUAGCUAUGACAUUCUCCAAAAUGUUAGCAAUAAAAGGUAAUUUUAAGAUUAGCCUGCAACUACUGAGAAGAGAGGCGACAAGCUGUUUUUCUGUUUUUAAUGGAUAGCGUUCUGGUCUUGAUUAAUGAAAGCAAACUGAUAAGACUGAAAGACAGUUUUGAACAGAGAUCUUUGUAAAAUAACAGGUUGAGCUGGGGUAGGAACAGGCAGCGGAGAUGCUGAAGAAAAAGUAUCAUUUCUCACACUACUCAUUUUUUCUACAAAGAAAGUAAGAACAUAUUCACAAUGUUCACUGGGAAAAAUUGGGACAACGGGUCAAACACAAGUAAAAAUGUCACUAGUUGUGUAACACCCACCUCUGCUCUUUGAAACUAGGUUUUAAGACAGCGCAAAAGUUUUGGUAGCGGACCCUUUUUGGAUUCCAUUGGUUGACUUGUGAUGUUUGAGUGGGCUUCGCUUGCUUGCAGGGAAGCAAAACGGGGAACACACUAGCCGAAAUGCAAUUUUGAACCUGUCAUCUGCUGCCUGACAACAGUUUCUCUUUUUAAAAAUGCAUCUGCUUUCAUGACCAGUGAUUGGCACAUCGAACAGGAACUCUUGGCCUGCUAUCCGCUUGGUAUACCGGAGGCCCCGAAACAUCAGCUGUCCGCUAAUCCAGUUUAAAUCAUUUGAAUACUGUUCACUCUGAGACCCACACGAAAUAUCCCUCUGUGAAUGUACAUAUAAAAAGUAUUACAGUCACAGAUAAAAUUGGCAGCUACUUUUAAUGCAUACCAUGGAAAUGUUUCAUGGUUAUGCUGGUACUACAGUGACCUCCUGUUGGCACCAAUGAUUGCUUUUUAUUAGAUGGAGCCACAAAUGUUUCCCGGUGACUGAUUUACACAUUAUUACUGUCUCUACUAGCUAAGACAUUCCUUACGUUUUGAGUGGUGGAAGUAAAUCACUAGCUCGAUUUAUGAAUAGCUUCUAUGACUCAGUUCGCAGUGACUGAGUGAUGUGAAAGAUCCACUUAUGAAUUCCAGCAUCGAUAAAUAAACUCUUGAAGAAAUACAUUUCAGUUGCCACUUUUUGACGAGAUCUGGAAACAGCAUGCUGCAGUGGUAAAUGAAACAAACAAACAAACAAAAAACCAAGGCUUUGCUGCACACAGCAGUCAGAUCAUGCUGUAGGAAGACAGAAAGGUCAAAAUAAACUCUGCACAUGCCUCCCAGGUUUUAGCGAUAAGAGAAAUAAGAGAAGGAGGUGUGUCUUUUGUACACAUAGCCAUAUGAGAUCUUUAGACUUGCUGGAUUAUAACUGUAAACACAAAUGUGGCACACAAAUGCACCUGGCCAUAUUAUUCCCUUCUGUUAGUCUUCUAUAGGGUAUGCGUAACUGCUUGCAGGUACUGAGCCAUGACUUCAAUCAGCAGCCAUGCUUCAUCGUCAGCUGUUUAUUUUUGUCAUUCUGUUUGAAUAUGCAAGUGCAGAUACAGUGCCGAUGUUUGUGUAGUAUGCAGAGGAAUGCAGUCCUCGUAGCUGGGAGGUGCUUUGCUGCCUGAGCUGAGUUCAAGUUCAGCCUCCUUUCCUUUUCUCUUGUCUUCUCUCUGUCUUACCCACCACAGUCCGGGGGCUCAUCAGGUUCCAGUUGUUUUCUGGCUAUUCGGGGUCAGCGAUGCACGUUGGCAGACCUCAUUGGCAACUUUCUCGUUGCAGUGCAAAAAUCUGUUGGAGACUGAACUCGGCUCAGCGUUUGUGUGCCCCGGUGUUGAGUAACAAUGAGGUCCGCAGGGCGAUUGGCAGAUGUCUGUUUGGUGCUGCAGAUACAGUCAUGCCAUUGUGUGGAGUCAGCAAGUAAAAUGUGUGUGUUUGUGUGCGUAUGUGGAUAAGGGGUGAAGAAAAGCGGCUGUUUGUUUUGGCAGGAAGAUCAUUUGCCAAAGAAGUGGCUCCGCAGCCAAUUCUCACCAAACAAGCAGUGAGUGUUUUAUCAGUCCAAGCACUUCAACGGGCGAAAUGAGAAGGUGGCCAUUUUACUCCUCGCACUCUUUGCUGCUCUUCACAGCUAAGAGGGUUAAUGGUGAGCUGCCGCUCGGCCACUUUUAGCGCGGUGUUCCAUUAAAUUCAAAAGCUUGCGAUCCCUAAAACUUCCCUGUAACAUUUGUUGUUAACAAGAGAAUGAAAUUAACAGUUCCAGCUAAUCAGCAGCAUGACAAAGCUUUAUGGUUUCUCUGAUCUUUUCUUCUACUUGCUAUGACUCACUUGAAGCCCCAUUGUUUGCUCCGAGCCAAGAUCCUCCAGUCCAGAGGGCGUCGGUGCCAAGCAUGGCUCUGAGGAUAUUACAAAAAGGGAAAACCCAUCUUCCCCCAAAACCUUCUUCCAUUACAGAAAAGAGGUUUUCCGCUUCAAUCGAAACUGUCAGUGGAAGUUUUUCAAGCCACUUGGAAAACAUCAAUUGCUGCUUUUUCAGUCUUUAUGUUGGCAAAAUCAUCAGUCACAGGAGCAGCAUGAUCCUUUCGUAGUAGUUUUUCAGAAGAAAAGGCAGCUUGUGCAUGUGUUUUUAUGUCCUUUAUGCUCUCUUUUGUUGUGUGCAUGUAUUGUUGAGCUGCACAGCUGACAGGUCUGUGAAAUAUCAGCACCUGCAUUGUUUUUUCUCACAGUAAUCUUUGCAACUGAUGUGGACAUGAAUAUGCCGCCUGUGUGUGGAGCACAUCUUUUUAGUUUUAAACGACGAGCUGUUUCAUGUUGGCGCAGGAGUAAUAGGAGCCGCGGCGUGACAGCCAGGCCUGAGGCGACCCAGAAAUGUGCCUUCUUGGAACUUCCUUCUCAUUCCUUGGGCAUAAGAACAGCGGUGCAGCGCAGGCUAGACUCCAAAACCAACAGUUUUGGAAAUAUCUGUUACAUUUGCAUCCCAAAUAUUCAGAAGAGCUUGCAUGAUGUUCUUAUUUGGGUUGACAGGGUUUCAUUUUUCAUUCUUCGUGCCUCUUGUGUUUUCUUGUCAUACUUGGCUGUUUUUGUGUUGACUUAUCUCGUUGACACACAGGAUGGGUAAUUUUGGGCAGCGUAGAUGUCUGACUGCAAACAACAUGUACAGCUUAGAGUCCGCGCAGGAACGGCGUAAACAUGGUUUCCGAUUGAGGCAAAUUCCUGUGGUCAUGUCGCCACUUUUAAUGUUGACUUUUUUCUCCAAUACACCUUCUUCUUCUUCUUUCAUCGCUAUGUGGAAAAAACACUUAAAGAGAACCUAUUAUGCUCAUUCCCAACACUUAUUUUUAUUCUUGGACUCUACUAGAGUAGCCCUGCAUGAUUCAGAAAAUAAUCCCUUGUUUUAAUACUGUUCAGGCUCUCAGUUCAACUAGUGGAAUAAGCUAUUUUAACUCCCUUUACGUUAACUUUCUGCUGAUUGGUAGCCCCUCACAAGCAAAGGAUUUGGACGGUGGAUGGGUGGGGCUUCGGUGUUAUUCAUAUGACCAGGACAUCCACAUUUAUUCACAUUAUAAAGAGCCAUGACUAGAAAAUAACCUGCCUGAAACUGAAUGUUUGGAGCAGUCUGAAGCCCGAGCUUGUGGCUCAUUGGCUCAUCACUCUAACAUAUUAUAAUAUUAAAGAAAAGAAGAGUGUCACACACCUCUUUAAUUGCUCUCUUUUAAAUUUAAUGUUGUCUGCAAACGUCUUUGACAGAAAAGUCUAAUAUGUUUGAGUAAAUUAAAUCUUAAACAGUUAAACCACAAAUUUCCUUUUACUCUGAAUCGCAUCUCCUUGUGAGGGACCAAAAAUCUGUGGGCAUCCUCUUUGUGGGAUAAUGCCUAAUACAAAAAUGUGAAAGAAGCCAUGCUGUCUCUGUUAUAAGUUAAUAAAAAUUCCACCUACAAGCACCUCAUAUAAGUGAUAAAAGACUAGUUUGUUAGUUUCAAAGGGCUAAUGUGUGAUUUCUUGGCAACCUCAAGUCUUCUUGUUAUCGUCCAGUUUCUAACAAGGUAUGAGUCUGACACAAAAUACCUUUGUUUACCUAAUCCUUUCUGUACAGCUGUAAUUGAUGGAGAUAAAACGAGCUAAUUACUGAGCUGACAGGCCGAGUCAUAUUAGCCACGUUCGCGUUUCCAAUCUUUAUGCAAAGAGACUUUAACCAUUAGGGUGUGUGCCGGCAGGAUCUGAAAGCCACUCAAAUCUAGAGCAAACACUGCAAACAAAAGUGUCGAGGCGAUCAAAAGCGGAGCAGGCAUUUCUUGUGCCCCUCUUUAAAAGAAAAAAAAUAAAUAAAUAGAGAGAAGGAACCUUCUUGACCUGCUUUCAGCCAAUCAGCCCUUGACAACAGGCUCAACCUGAGCAAACAGUGAGGAAAGUAAUCAGCUUUCACAUAACCCUGAUAGUAACUAUCUCCUCAGAGUUAUACAUCAGCUGGUAUUGAUUAAUGUGAUGAUGUUGUUGCCGUCCAGCACCGUGGCGUAGAGAUGACUGCACUGGUGUUUUCCAGCUUUUAAACUUUGCUUGUAAGUUAUGUGCAUAAGUGCUUAAUUAGCAGUUUUCCUCCUCAGUUAAUAAUUAUAUCUAUAACAUGUAAGAAAACUGCAAGGAAAAUCAUCACAUUCUGGCAUUUUAGAAGUGUGCACUGGCAGUAUUUUCACAUUUUUGCUUUCGAAAUGACUGCAGAGAUAAUUGCAUUAACACAGACAAGUCUGAUUAAUUUUCCGUCGAUCUACUAACCGAUCAAUCACCUAAUCAUUUCAUCCCUAAACUGAAUUAAAACAAGUUGCGUCACAGCUCCUGGCUCCAGCUGCACGCUCACCCUACAGACACAGGAAUGGUAUCAAUCUUCUCAUCUAACUCUUGGCCAGAAAGAAAGUGCGCCUGCUUCUCAAAAAUGCCGAGCUAUUUCUUUGAAAGCUCAGGGUGCUCAAAACAAACCAGUUCAUUCAAACACGCGUGCGCCAACGCAUAUAAUGAAUAUAAAUGGAGGACUUGAGAGAUGCAGUAUAUGCUCAUCGCCAACAAUUCUCAGUUUCCUUUUCCCACCACCUACAUUUGGAAAGGUGUGUACGCCUGUAUGGCUCCAUUAAAAGGUAUCGGUUUUAAUCAUACUUAAAAAAGUGAUUACGUGGAGCUACAGCACAGUGAGCCUGUUCUUAUUUGGAAAUAUUGACACAACAAUGAAUCACAGACUCAUAUCCUCUCAGUUUUCUCACGUCUGCUGACAUUUCAAACUGUGCGAAUAAUUGCCAAAUUGUCUCGGGCUGUAUUAAGCCAGGGGAGGAUACAAAUGCCUUUAAGCAACAUCAGCUGAGGAGAUGUAGAGGCCGGAAUAAAUGCAACGCUGCUUAUCCUGCCAACAAAGCCUUAGAAACAGUUACACUUGUUUCAUAAAUCAACUUGUUAAAAAGCACAUGCACAUAAGAGAAUAAGCACUCCCAUUUUCCUAAAAGCUGUACGGGAGGAUGGUGGUGGAAGGGGGUGGGUCAGGAGGUGAUGGAGUUUGUAAGAUAAACUUGGCUAAACUUUGUCAGUGUACGAAAUUCCCCUCAUCAGACCCCAGCCUGCCAUCCUCCCCUCUCUACCCAUCCGUAUCCAACAGUGUGCAAAGCUAACAAAGCCAGUAUUUAAAAAGCUAUUAAAGAACUACACAACUUCUUUCAUCAUUUAAAAUGUCAAAAGCUUGAAUAAGCAUCCCGUUUAUACAAUGAGCAAUCCCUCCAGGAAUAAUUCUCAGAAUUUCAGCCACUCUUCACAUCAUUUGUGCGAGUUUGCAGUUUUGCCUGCAGGGUGCUUGUAGAUUUUAUCAGUUACUGCAUCUCAAAUACAAAUAAUCCAAUUCAGAAUCACCACUAUAAGCUGAGCUCAAACUAAAAUGGAAGGUAAGUUCAUGCCUAAGGGUCUUGCUGUCUGUUGGAUUUUGGAAAUCUAAGUCAUGCGUCAACUCCAGCAAACACUACCAUUUAAAGGUUUAGAUUAUAUGUAACUUUUAAUUUAAACGGGGACCUAUUUAGGAGACUUCCUCGCUUUCUAUCAGAUAUAUGCACUCACGAGACACUUCAUUAGUUAUUCUUUGCUAGUAGUUGGUUGGAACCCCUUUUGCCUUCAGAACUGCUUUCAUUCGCUACAAAUUCAAAAAGCUGCUGGAAACAUUCCUCAGAGAUUUUAGUUCAUAUUGACUCGAUAGAAUCACACACUUGCUGCAGAUUUGUUGACUGUACAUCCGAGAGGUGCACUGUUGGAUAGAGAUCUGGUGAUUGUGGAGGCAAUUUGAGGAUAGGGAACUCAUUUAAAGAAAUAGCCUGAGAUGAUUUGAGCUUUGUGAUGUGGUGUGUUAUCCUCCUGGAAGCAGCCAGAAGAAGACGGGUACACUAUGGUCAGCAACGGUACUCAGGUAGACUGUGGUGUUUAAAAAAUGCUCAGCUGGUACUUGAGGGGCCCAAAAUAUGAAAAACACUGAUAUACCACCACCACGAGGCUGAACUGUUGAUACGAGGCAGGAUGAAUCCAUGCUUUCAUGUUGUUUGCACCAAAUACUGACCUCACCUUCCAAAUAAAGACUCAUCAGACCAGGCAACAUUUUUCCAAUUUUCCAUUGUCCAAUUGUGGUGAGCCUGUGCAAACUCUAACCCAAAUUUUCUGUUCUAAGCUGACAGCUAAGCAGUGAAAAAGGUAUCAUGACUCCUACUUGACCAAGCAUAAUGUUAUUGGCUUGUAUUUUUCUAAGGUGGUAUAAUGAAACAGAUUACACCGUAUUUUGCUAGCACACUGACCGAGAUUCAGUGAUCAGGGACAAUGACUUUGUUGCUUUCCAUCGCCACAACUGACAGAACCAAUAUCAUCUUUCUGUUGGCUCACUUGUGUGUGUGUGUGUGCGUGCUCCAAAAUGUUGUGUGUUACAUUCAUAAAACUACAAGAGAGAAUGCAAAAAAACCCAAACAAAAACUGGGCAUACUGCAGUCUUUUUGACAGGAUGCUGUCUGACGUCCAAAAUAUUGUGACGUCUGCCUGGGUUUCUAUUAUUCAGCUGACAUAAUGUUGUCUGAUUGUGUCAGAAACACCAGCUGUAAUAUUUUAAUAGUAUUUAUACUCUUCUCCCUGCUGUAGUUUUUGUUAAAUCACUGUAAAAUAACAAGAAAUAAAAGGUCAGACUUUGCACAACUUUCAAGUGAUCUUGACAGGAUCCUUGUGGGACUAAAUACGGCAUGUGGGAAAAUCACAGUCUUGAUCAUUUUCUUAAAAUCUGGUAAAGCUUAAAUCUUCAUUGUGUUUUCAGUUUCCUUCUGAGGUUCUCUCGUCAGUCUUGUCAUAUAGUUAGAUUAGUAAUGAAGCUUUGGGCAUUCUUUGUUGGCAAAAUAGCAGCUCUUAAAGAGCAGGCCACAUUUCCAGUGUUGAUACUGUUUCACAGAGUUAUGAUCUCAGAUCACACACAUGAGAACGUAUAUUAGUCUUUUGCUCAUGGACAUUUUCAUACUAAGCCACACACAGACUCCGGCAGUGUCUUCAGAAAAUGCUGAUAUAGUUAAUUUUGACAGGUAAUGCACAAUGAUCCCUGAAAAAUCCUAACUAAAACAGUCAUUCAUUAAGGUUUUGGAAUUGUGACUCGGUCGUAUGGCAGUUUUUCCACCCAGUCUCAUGCUGGAGGGAAUUAGGUAGGUAAACAUUAAAAUUUGGAAGUUGGCUCUAAAACUAGAAGCCAAGAAUUGUUUACUCUAUUACAUUAGGAGGACUCAUUUGGGAAGACUUUGCUAGGGAAACGCAACUCCCCUGCAGAUAUUAUACCUUUAGUGUCAUUUUGACAAACAUUUCAGUCGUAGUUUGGUGAAAAGCGGUGGGACCUGCAUUAAAAACCUUUACCUGGCCGUCACCAAAUUUUGUUCUUUUCUAACAGCUGCCACGGCAUUGAAUUCGGGCUAAGACAGACAUGUUGUGUGUUAGGCAUCAAGAUAAUUAACUGGUCACAGUCAGGUUUUCCUGGAAAUUGACUGUAUUAGUGAGUCUAUUCUCUUAUUCUCGCCUUUUCCCUUUCAUUUUUUUCCCCCGCUUGGCAACUGUCACACAGAAAGCUUUGAAGUGGGUGUAAAUAAGAAGACAUGCAUGCUUAAUGAGCACGAGUAAAAAUGGCUUAAUACUUGUUUUCGCGAUGUAGCUCUGCUUACCGAACUGAACGUCGAGGCAGCGUGACUGCUUAAUUAAGCUGCCUGUUAACACAAAGAGGCCAACAGUGACAUUUGCUGUGGUGACGGUCACAUCAUAUCUGAUUAACUUCAAGUUGUCGUUUGAAAGAGUCCCAAACAUCUGCAACUAAACGCUUAUUUUCACCUCCCGAUCUCACUUGUAAAACUAAAUAUCCUACUGUGACUUGCCGAGCAGAUGUAAUGAGCCGAGAUCAAAUACUGAAAGUCAUUCACAGACGCUGAUAUGUGAAAGGGCCAGAGAGUGAAAAGGAGAAAGGAAAAAAACAAGAAGUGAGGAAUGGUCUUCUGCUUUCAGAUUUACAGCCGCGGGGUCACCAGUAGAGUCGGAGCUGGAGCAGAGUGGUGCAGAACUCGCCUCCUCCUCCUUCCCUGCCUCCCUCCCUCCUGGCCUCCUUAGCCUUCUAUGCUCACACCCAAUUUUUUGGCUCUUUGUUACUGUAUAUAGGUCACACUGUGAUCGUGUGUAUAUACAGGUGAAUUUAUUCUCCUUCCCAGCAAGCAUAUGGAAAGAGGUACUCAAAACAUUUCCUAGAAGUAACUGAACAGAAGAACAAUGCUGCAUUUGAAGCAAAGGUCAUGCCUUCGUGUGUUUUAGAGGAGAACUCAUUCUGAACAGAUCCUCACUGUAAAAAAUCAAAAUAAUGCAUUCAUUGUGUCAUGUAUAGAUUUUUAUUUGAGUGUUUACGUUAAAGUAAAACGUGUUUUAUGAGCUACUUUUAUGUUUUUUUUUAUGUAAAACUCUUUAUUUUAACUUCUCGCCACACACCUACAGCACUAGGAACAUUUCUAGAAUUCUAACGACAUCUGUGUGCAUGUAUGCAUGCGAGUGUCAACUCGGCUAAGCUCAGCUAUGUUGUCAUCAUUUAAAGAAUUUAUACAGUACAUUUAAGGAAUCAUCCCAAGCGGUGCAUGUCUUUUAUUUGCAGAGAAGGAGCGACGGUUAUAAAGCAAUAUUACAUUUUUUCCAUGUCUUUGUUCUUGGCACAACAAACAGCAACGCUGCAGUGAGUCAAUUUUAUCAUCACAAAUAUGUGAUAAGAAUAAUAUGAGCAAUAGCGCUUAUUUUUUUAAAUAGAUUAAACAGGACAGUUUUCCAUCGCUUCUCACAGCCUCUGUAACAAAAUGUAAUGCUUGAGCGUGCGUGUGAAUAAAAGUGCGUUUGCCCCCACUAGCUUACCUGAGCUCCCCGUGAAAAGCGAACACAAUCUCAGCCUGAGCAGAAAGGCAGGAUGUUUUUGAUGAAGCAGUGGGCUUAAUUUAGGCCCAGGCAUUCUCAGUAUCUGUCACCUAACUCCCAGUGAUCUCAACACACAGUGUAGUUGUGCGCAUGUGUGUGUGUGUCGGUUUAUGUUUAUCCACAGAGGCAGGCUAUAAAUUCAAGAAAUGUACACCGACAUUCGGCCCCCCUAUAAACUGUAAUACCUCCCAAAUAUAAAGACAACGUCAUACCCAUUCCCCGUUUUAUUUUGCUAGUAAUAAUGGAGCAAAUAAAAACCGCAGCUUUACAACAGACACUACUAUGAUAGUGUCUCUCUGAUAGGAUUUUAUUAUGAAUUAUUAAUACUGGCUAUUAAAAAAUAAUCCCAUUAACUCUGCCAAAUGCCCCAAAAUCUUGAUUUCUUCUUCUAAAGAAGCUGGCUUGGUUAUAGCUCCUGCUUGGCCAUUAAGUAACCAAACAGGCGUAGGCAUUGCCAGCAAACCAGCAAAAGCAAAAAGCGAGUGCCAGCAACCUCUGCCAAAGACUUCAGCUUGCACCCAGUGUUCUUCUCUUACUGGUACACAGAGAAAUGAUCUGCCUACUUCUUCGAAUUGUACAUUUUUCUAUCCCUGUUUGGAUUUUUUUUAAAAAUUAAAAAAUAUUUUAAGAAUGAAAACCUUUUGUUGCAAGCAGAAAGAUUUAAGAGAAAUUAUGUAGAUUCUUGUUUUUUUGAGCAUGUACGUUUGCUGAUAUGAGCACGUGCAUUUGCUCCUUCUUGGCCAUUAAGUAACCAAGCAGGCGUAGGCAUUGUCAGCAAACCAGCAAAACUAAAAGCCGAGCUCCUACAAACUGCCAGUGACUUUGUUUUGCACAGAGUGUUCUUCUCUUUGCUGGUACAUAAAUAAAUUUUCUACCCUUUGAGUUUAAGACAUUUUCCAGUCUGCAUGGAAAAUGUUCUUAUUCAUAAUACUGACAAACCUCUUUUUUUAAGCAGCUGCAUAACGUAAUUAUAUGGAUCUCCAUUUUCUAGCUCUCUCUCCAUCGUUGCUGGAUGAGCAUGUACAUUUUUGAAAAUCACAAAAGAGGACCUUGCGACGUCUGACCUCGAGCUUGGCGUCACUUUAAUGCGGCAUUAAACGAACGUGCUCCAUCUCGUCAAACGACUGCAUGGAGAGCUAGGAGGAGAUCUCUGUGGUCGUCAUGCACCCAUAACGAAUGGAAAGACAAGAAGACCACACAGCAGCAUGGUCAGAUCAGGUUGUCAGAGACCAUAUAUAAAAUCUGGGUCAGGGUCCAGGCCGUAACCUCACUCUCACUAUGGCUCCGCUCUCGCUUCUCUGUACCCGAUUCCACCUUCGUCCCACGACUCUAUCUUUGUGUUUUCUCCCUCUUUUAGUUGAAUCGCUUCACCCACUUUCCACAUCCACGUCUUUAUGCAUUUCAUUCCCUGUCUCAACCUACUCGGCCCGAGCAAUCCAGGCAGGCAGGCUGUUUGUGCUGAGCUACAUGGCAUCUUUAGAUUAUAUUAAAUUUAUUGUGAAUUCAUGGCAAUGAACGAUGCAUUUAAAUAAAAUAAUGGCAAAAUCUAAAUUUGUGAAUUGUUGAGAUAAUAGUGAAACUAUAUUAUAUUACAUUAUAUUAUAUUAUAUUAUAUAUGUAUAAUGCUGCAUUUUUUUCUAGAAAUACCAGGGCCAGAAGACAGCAUGUCAUUUUUAGAUGUCAACUAGGGAACUGGCUUAGUACCUCUCCUCUUUCUUUCCUUUUUUUUGGGACAUUUUUGAUUAUAACAUCUGAAAGAAAAACCACAAUGGUCCCUUUGUUGGAGAUGAAAGUGUUUCCAGUGUUUUUAACUCUUAAUGAUUUCUCUGUGUUGUUUGCUUUUAGGAAGUGAAGAAGCAUUUGAACCAGAAAACGGAUAAUUACAUCAAACUUAUUUAUUUAUUGUAAAGUAGAACAAAAGAAUGAAAAAAAAUUUUUUUUACUUGUUAUUUGCUGUUUUACCCACACACGAGUUAUGUUCUGAAACCACUUUUAGUACUUUGAAAAAGAUACUUGAGAACAGCACCCAUAUUUUAAAGACAUACUCUGUAUUCUGAGAUAAGCCUCGUGACCUUUGAUAUGUGAUUGAUGUGUUUGGACUUGUUUUGUUUACCGUAGCACACAAAAAUUAUACUUUGCUGCCUAGCAGGCAUUUUCAUCUAAGAGCUACGUGAGUUCCUCUUCAUAUUGCUACUGGGUCCAGUUUCUGUUUAUCGGGGAACAUUUCCUCACAUAAAUCACCCGCUCUUUAAAAAUAAAUUCCAAAAAACAUACCUUUUCUUCUAUUUUGACUGUAUGUGCAUUAAACAUAUGGGAUAUAAAUUUUAAAAAUAUACAUUUUUGACUUUGUCUAAUACAUAUUUUACAGAGCUAAGCUGGCUGCUAACCCUUGUUUUAUAAUAGUGCUACUUAAACUAAAUAUAUCAAUUUCAGAAUUAAGUAUUGCAAGUCAAUUCCUUGUCAGAUAUUAUUAUUAAUCUUUUAAUUUGUUUUGUGUACUUUUAGAAAGUUGAAUAGAAAGAGCCAGAGAUAAAAUUUAAGAGGUGCCACAUAGUUGCCUACUCUCUAAGGCAGACCUGGCAGGCCUGCAGCAGCUCUAACAGUGGCCUUGCUGCCAUUAAUAAUGGGAAAAUGGCAAACACUGUACAAAUCAACUGGCAUGAAUCUCUGUGCUUCUCUACAGCACAGUCUCUCUGAACCUAUUGUGGAGCUAACAUGGCUGCCAGCAAUAAGACAUGAUGACAUUAUCCUGCUUUCUUGCUGGAGGCCUCCCAGUAAGGAGUUCUUGUGAACACAUCUUCCGAGUGACAUGGAGACGGGCCUGCAGCCACCAGCGGAGCUGAGCUGAGCCGCUUUAGAGCCCUGCUGAGACCUGCCAGGCCCACAGCUUUCCCUGCCAGGGGCCUCGCUCGAAGUCAAAGUGAGUUACAACCCAUGCUCUUGACACACACAUGCUAAUGCAGAAGCAAGCACCCACUAUGUAGGCAUGCAGGCGCACGCACAGGUGGAAUACAUAGAGGAAUAUAUGUGUGCAACCAUAAACCAGUACAGAGGCAAAGAAAUAACACUGUACGUGCAAAUAUAUGCACACUCAUACAUAAUGAUACCCCUCUAAAAGAGAUUGUAGCUCCACUGGACCACUAGAUAGACUACAUUUACAUACAAUCACACACAAUCAUAAAUUUGGUAUUUGCAGCCUAAAUAAAUGAUAUCCCUGCUUCUACCCAUGCAGUAAAGUGAGCAUGUCGUCCAACAGGGGCUCUAUCUGUCAGGGGUAGCUUGAGAUCAAGGUCCAGCAGCUGCUGGAUCAGCUGGAUUGAUCUGUCUGGGUAAACAUGAGGACUGAAAAUGAGCAUGUUUGUGAUUAAAGGCUUAACAGGAAGUGCGUGUGACAGUGAGAGAGAGGGAGCUUCAGUAUGCCGUUUAUACCCUGUACAAAAGAGAGCUCUGUGUAUUACCUCCAUAUAUAUGUGUGUGUGUGUUAUAUUGUGCUUAUAUCCAGCUCCAUUUUUAAAAAAUGUUUGGAUACUGCUGGAGUCAAUUUAUAGCAACAUCAUCCUUAUAUUAUACUGGACAUUACUGGUGCAGCCCCUUAGUUCACCCUCCUUUCUUCUGAUUGGCUGCCCCUCGUUAAUAGAAGUCAGUGGGCGGGCGUUCUGUGCUCACAAGCCAGAACUAUGUACCAUUAACUGGAUUGCUGCCCCUGACUGAGCCUGGUUCUGACAGAGGUUUGUUCCUGUUAAAUGGGAGUUUUUCCUUCCCGCUGUUGCCAAGUGCUUGUUCAGUUUAAUGUUUGAAUAUUGGGAUUUUCUCUGUUUUCUGGCCUUUACUUUACAAUACAUCGUGCUUCGAGGCGACGAAUGUAAUUUGGCAAGUUAAUUCACACAACUGAAGUGAAUUAAGAAAACCUCUCAAGCCACUGUAACACAUUUUUGACAGAAAAUCAGGAAAAUCAUAUUGGGGCUGGUUAAUGUUUUUCAUCGUGACUCACCUAAAAAGAGACAGUCUUCCAGGAAAUGGUUACCAAAAAUAUUUUCCUAACCAUAAUCACGCAGUUUUGGUGCCUAAACAUAACAAAACUGCAAAAGUGAAAUUAAAAAACAACCUAAAGUUGUGACUCAACCUUUUCUGAGUUGUCACCAGAUAUCCAAAAUUAUACUGCGAAUUACUGGAGACAUCAACGGCCCCCCCCAGGUGGAAUACUCAAGGCCAUUUUUUAGAUACUGAGCAAAUGAAGGAGAAUUUACUUAAAUGUGGUUGUAGCCACCUUAAUAAUCUUGCAAAGUGCCUUUACAUACAGAGUAAAUGUGUCAGUCCCUCUGCUCAUUACAGCCAAAAGACCCUAUUAAGCUCUCACAUGAGGGCUGACCAACAGUUUCAUGCUGGCUAUAUAUGAAUGUAUCUCACAGCGAUAAUAUAUCGCGAGUGCAUGUGUAGCUAUAUGGUUUGUGUCUAAUCCCAGGAAUGUUGAUGUGGUCCAGAGUUUAAUAAAUGGAGGCGUGGGUGUGGAGUAAGAGUCCCCUGGAGCAGAGUUAAGGUCUUAAUGUACUAAAAAGCCUUGACCCAGACCAUAUACACCCACUCACAGGGACACAGCACCUUCUCUCCAGUCCAGCACAUUCUUUCAUACUUUGGCUACGCAGCAAAGAAAUAUGCACUUAGACAUACACGGAGAUAUGCAAGCACAACAUGGACGAUAUGACCUUAAACAACAAACAUGCGCAAAAUGUACCGAGUGGCUCAAACACACACACACACACACACACACACACACACACACACACACACACAAACACAUCCUUGUUGACUUGUGUUGGUCGUCAUUCAAUGAGGAGCACAUGACUUAAAUCGGGUGUGGUGCAUGACAUCUUAUCGAACAAAAGCGUCCCACAGAGAGAGCUGAUGGGGGAGACGAUCCCUCCCCGCUUGUCCUGUCUGUUGGGAGUCAUGAGGUCUCCAUCUCGUUUGCCACGCUGUGUCUCGUGGUACAAAGUCCAUAAAAUGUUCAAGUUAAAAAAAAAAAAAAAAAAUCCCCUGCUUUUAAAACUUUCAGCUGCGGUGCUGUGUUGUCAAUAAAUCAGCUGCUUUCCCUGAGGAUAGCAACGUUAUCUCCGGGAGGGAGAGGAAGUGCAAAACACUGCACGUUUUUCAAGAAUGAAGCCUUUGAAUUUCUUGUUAUGUCCUAUAAAUGUCUCACCUUGAGGGUCUGAUGUCUCGCCAUGAGAAUGGAGGGCUUGUAUUCUACACAUUCAACCCGUCGCUUCUACAUGCUUCUGCAGUCAUGCAGAAAUAAACUCAAGUAUGUUUAUCACAGAAGCUUUAUUGUGUUUUGUCUCAUUUAAGUGUCUUGCUGAUAAACUUGUCAUUUAACUGUCAAAAUCAUGACGGCUACCUCCAUGUCAGAUCUUACAGGGAAUAUUUCUUCAUUUUCUCAAAUGCAUUGUAGCUCUGAACUUUUCUAACAUUAACCAGCGGAGCUGAAUAUUAGAAUGUAAAUAUCUAUAUCAGUUGGACCAGACAUUACCCAGGCAGCCUCCUUGUAGAAAGUAAAGUCCAAAUGAGCACAUGUGUGAAAGGUUCAGGUAAUUCACAGAGUGAGUUUGCAUCACGUCCCGCCUCCUGCGCAGACUAUCCAGUCGCCACUCUUUGCCCAAACCUAAACUGCACAAUGCAUUUCAAGUGUCACUAUGCAUCUAUCACAUGUGAGAAAAGCCAACUCUGGACAAUGUGCAGACCUGAUUCUCUCAACAUUACCUGGAAUUUAUGUGUAAAACUUGCUAUAGUCUCAUCCACCAAAGUUGCUCGUCACCAUUGAGUCACCAGCUUCAGUGAUAAGAUUGUUUAUCAGAACAAAUCUUUGCAACUGUUGCAACUGUUUUGGAGUCCUGUAAGUCCUGUUAAUACAGGGGAAAUAAUGCGAGUUGCAAUUGCUCAAGUGCUUCUGUGAGAGUUAAAAUGGCUAAAAAAUAAAUAAAUCAGAACUCCACAAUGACAAGAGAAGUGAAAAGAGGAUUCUCAAGCUUACUCCUGAACAUUUCCCUUCUCUUUCUACCUAGCUGGAAAAAGCUUGAAAAGUGUGAGCAAACUGGUGAAAUCAAGCUGAGCAGGAAGGGGUAAACAGGACAUUUGUGUGCAUGUGUCUGUAUAAUCCCAUCACAAGAUAGUGUCGUCGAGAGCCAUUGCCCCGAGGCAGCUGGCCAUAGUCCAUCAAGGGAACUUUAAAUUAGAGUAAUGCUCACUAACACAAGGUUAGACAGUUCAUCUGCUGGAGAGAUAUGAAAAGGGGGAAUUGUCUGGUGCUGUGCUGAUGGCCCAGAGAAAAUAGAGUGAAGAAGUUUUGAAUCCCAGGCCUAUACGUGGACAUGGCUAUUUGUAGAUUGAACUGAGGCAGAUGCAGACAGGGUUGGAGAGACUGAGUCCUUUGAUAAUCGAUAAUAGCCUUGACAAAUGUAAGACAAUGUAAUAUAAAAAAAAAGUGAAAUAAAAUAAAGUUUGUCAAAUGAUUUGUUCCUGGUUGAGUAAAAUGCUGAAUAAAGUUUGUUUAAAACUAAAACUGUCUUCUUGUCCUUGUGCACAGAAUAUUUACUGUAUAACGUUUAAUUUAAAUGAUCAACAGUGUUUGAACUUUUUUGUUCUCCAAUCUUUAAAACAAGCCCACAAAUGUAUCAAAUGUCCCGACGCAGCUGGGCACAGUUGCUUUUGGCAAACGAUGCCCAAACAGGAGUGAACAGUGUGUUGCUUACGGACUACUUAAACCUGUGGAAUAAUACGAAUUUGGUGCUCUGACACUGUACAUGUGGGACCAAUUAAAGAUAAACUACAGUGAACUGCACUGAACAUCGUCAACCUUACAAGUAUAAAAAUGCAAAAGGCGCAUCUGAGGGAACACGUGUGCAUUUUCACGUGCUGAAUCCUUCCAAUAAAGUUCAGAUGCGUACAAGUAUGAUUCAUUUGGCUGCUUCAAGUUCUCCAUUUAAAAAAAAAUGGUUACAAAAUAUUGUCGUUUCCGUUUACGAUGAGUAAUCUGCUACGAUUGAAAGUGCUGAAGAACUCGUGAAUGGUUUACAGCAUAAAACACAUGAGCUUAUUUAAAGCAGGAAGCUUAUCCAAGAAAGCUUGCUAUCAGGCUUCAACUGCUAUGUAAAACUGGGUAGUUAGGCCUCCGUUGUCUAUGCAAAGUGACAGCUAAAAAAACAGUCCCCUGAGCUCUGCGGGGAGAAGAGACGUGUAAAUGAUCUAAGUAAUCUUGUUUAGAUCAGCUUUUCUGAAGAUAUAACUGACAAGCGCACACAAACAGGAAAAAUGAGUCAGACAUUCCUUGCAUAUGAAAUGCACUCCUCUCACAAAUGUUAUGAUAAGCUAUGGUAAAUGCUGCUCUUUGCUGCACUUUCACUUUACAAAAAAAAGUUCUCCUUUUUAUUCUGAGAAAGAGGAAUGACACAAAUGCUGCAGCCGGAGAUGUUCUAAAAUAUACCCUCUUUAACUGCAGCGCUAUACAGUACCUUAUCUGGUAUGUGUUGAUAUCACUAUUAGUCAUGUGUAAAGAAUCUGUGAGUGUUUGUGAGAGUUUUGUUUCCCUAGGCAAAGUUUGGCAAACCACAAAAUUCCUUUAAAUCUCCCCCAACUCCACCAAAUUAUUAACAGCUCCAAACACAGCAUAUUUAAAAAUGCUUUGAAAUUCGAGCUUGAAUAAAAGAAUGAGCUCGGAAAUACAAGCAGAGCGUUGGCAGGAUGAAUUAUCAUUCUGAUUUUGCAGAAUUUUAAUAAAUUCUCUCUAUAUUUUUAUCACAGCUAAUAUUUUUGAGCAAUAAUUCACUCUCAUUUGUUUAAUCUUCUCAUGAGCUCUCAUGCCUGAACUGAGCUUUGGGAAAACACCUAUCUAAUGAGUUCAUAGGCAAAAGUGAGGAGGGAAAAAAGCCCUUUUUACCUGCCAGUGAUCCAGCACAUCAUAUUUAAAACAAAGCAAAACAAAACAAAAACUUUAAGUGUGGGAGGCCAGUGAUGUGCCCCACCCAAGUAACUACCCUUUCAUAGAGUCAAUGAGCCCAGCCCUGAAGCUGCAUCUCCAGACUUACCAAUAAUUCCUAACGGCCUGACCCAGAAGCUGCAUCAGGAGGCCCCGUCGCACAGCCUGUGAUCCACACCCCAGAGCUGCACUGGAGGAACAGCUCACACAGCCCAGUGGGACCAGUCUUGGAUGUGCAAACAUGCAGGAACGCCUUAUCUGUGCUGUUUUCUGACAGAUACUGAACAGAUACAAAGACGGCUGCAGAAAAAAAAAGAAGAAAAACAGCAAAAGCGCACCUACAGACUUUUAAUAUUGUUCUUCAAUUCCUAUAUUAAAAAAACAAAUAAAUAAAAAAUAAACGUUACCAGUUACUAAACACAGUUACAGGGCUAAAAUGUCUGCAGCAACUUGUGUGUUUAUCAUCGGUAAAUACACACAGCUGUUAGAGUCCAGCGUAGCCAGUGAACAAUGCUGGCAGCUACACACCUCCAGCACAAGGGACACAUUAAGAGAAAUAGUAGGAGGAACUGGCCCAUACUUUGUGUGUGUGAGGGAGUGUUUAAUGUAUAAUGUCCUCACCAUGAGAGUAGGAUGAAAAUCUUAUUGCAGGCGAAUGGAUUGCAAAAUGUUAGUGUGAAGUGGAACAGGAUCUAUUUAAAGCCAUGUCUACGGUUUUGUCCCUGACGUCCUUUGACCACUCUUUGGCCUUGCCCAUGAUUGUGGAAGGGAAGAAACUGAAUCUGAUCCAGAGUCUUUGUUGGUUGAUGCAUCAGACAGAUGAACUGACUGCUGUGAAGAGAGAGUAAAAUACCUGCAGAAGGAGUGUCGGAUCUUUUUUUGUUGUUAUUUUUAUUCUUGUAUUUAAAAGAUCUCAGUGUAGCUCUCAGGGAUGUAAAAGGGAGUCUGAGCUGUAACAGGAGUGUGUGUGUGUGUGUGUGUGUGUGUGUGUACACAUGUGUGAGUUUGAGCACACUGUGUGUAUGUGUGUGAGAUUAGAGAAGGGCAAAGAGUUGAGGUGGUGUUUGAUGCUAGUCUCAGUGGCAGGCUUAAAAAAAAACAAAAACCUGUCACUCAGCUUCUCUCCACGCAAUGCAUACACACACAAACACACAUGUGACCACCCGCAUACACUACACUCACACAAUCUGGCUCUCCAGCACAGCCAUAGACUUCUAGCAGCAACACCACUGACCAUGUAAAACCUCUCUCCCUGUGCAGGCACACACAUGCAUUAAUACUUGCACACACAUGCAACUUUAUAGGCACACACACAGAACAGUUCUAAGCAUACAAAUAACAAAUAAACCAAGUCAAUUCAGCGUAUAAUCGGUGUAUCGUAAAGGAUCAAUUCCUGCAGAACACGCACAUGUACUGGAGUACACAUUCACAGACAUACAGACUUACUGUAUGGAUGCUGUACUCUUGUGUGUAAUCGUAAAGUAAAUAGGGUGCUAAGUAAACACCUAACUCAGCAACUUAUUCUCUUUGUCACGUACACACAUUUAUCCAGCACCCUAGCUGGGAGAUCUCGCUCUUUCCUUUACAGUAGGCCAUUUCUUUCAACAGAUUUAUCACCGGUGUUGCACAACCUAUUCGAUUAUCUGUGUCUGUGUGCCCUUCGUGAGAGAGUGACCAACUGAGCUUCUGUGAUAGUGUCUCUGCGGGUGUUUGUGUGUAUCAGAGGGCCGUAGGCUCAAGCUAUUAAGAUCAGUAUAGUGGUGAGAUAUGUGAUCUGAGGGAUGCUACUUCAGAGAAGUGAACAAAGCAGAUGCUGUUCCAGAGAAGAAACUGCACAAGGCCAACAUACAAACCCUGGGGGACCCCUCUACAGUGCUAGCUUUGGAGCAACUAUUGUAUUUGGCUGAAUGUAUGAACGCCAACAGUUUAAUCUAACACAGUAUAAAGGACUGCCAAGAAAAUCUGAUGUGUUAUUAUUGUCACGUUUAACCAUCUGUCUUGGGGUUUUGGUCCAAAUUUCUUAUUCACAAAGUUGAAUAAUAUCAGGCCCUCCCAACAGGGAUGUUUGUGACAACGCAUUGAUAUUCCUGACAGGAACUGUCGGGGGACUUUGGAUGUGUUGUGUGAGAUCUCUUCCUCACAGAGGUGAGUGACAAAUAAAGAAAGAAAUAUUAACUAUAAAGAAAAACAGAUUUAAAGAUAAAGAAGGACAAAGACAGCCAAAACAGAAAUAAUCUACAAAUUACUUUCGUGAAAGGAAAAUGUGUGCUGAAUUUUCAAAUGGAGAAUAACAGUGGAGAAAUUUAAGAAGGAAGGAGGAAAAUAAUAGAGGUCAGUGACAAAUACUUCUGCAAAAAGUAAAUAAAAAUUAAACAAAUCACACACAGCCAAGUGUUCAAGAUAUAUACCUUCACACUAGUUUCAGCACGCUGUUGUUGAGCUCCAUUGGCACGGAAAGAUAAAUCUGGAAGGCCGACUGGACAGAAAUCCCAAAGCUGCCAUUUUAAGGAUGCAGAACUGCAGAUUAGCCAUGGCAUGUAAAACUUCAGUGAAGAAGCAAAGUGGUCAGACAAGAAACAACAAGAAUAAAAAGUCAUCCAGAAAACUAUUUGUGAGUCAUUCGCUGGAAAAAAAAAGUCUUCAAAUUAUUUGUUUAACCUCCUAAGACCCGAACUCU